GCUGGGCGUGGUGGUGUGUGCCUGUAAUCCCAGCUACCAGGGAGGCUGAGGCAGGAGAAUCGCUUGAACCAGGGAGCCGCUUGGAGUGCAGUGAGCUGAGAUUGUGCCACUGCACUCCAGCCUGGCGACAGAGCAAGACUCUGUCUCAA
rfam:Homo sapiens chromosome 6, GRCh38 reference primary assembly.